AUGGCACUUCAUAAUUGCAUUAGGGAAAGCAAUUUGAGAGACUUGGAGUUUGAUAAAUGUUACCGUGAUGAGAACUACAUGCCAGGGAAUUUACAACCCCUACCCACAGGACAUGUGUCCAAUAUUGUGGUUGGUGAUGCGACCAUGAAAGCAACUCAUGAGGUGAUUGUUGAUGGAUUGAUGGUGGAUCAAGUAUAG
rnacentral:rRNA from 1 species